UGAUUUAUACUCCUGUCAAGUGGACAGGGCGUAACCUAUCCUCUGCACACUUACUUACUUUCUCCUGAUUCUAGGGAGUCGUGUAUUCACCUCACAGGAGUUGUGUUUAGUAACUUGGGUGUCAUAUCAGAUGUUGUUAGUGCAACAACAAAUAGCUAAUCUAUAAAAGGAACCUAGAUCCUAAAUACAAGACAAAAGCAAGUACUUUCAGGUGAGAAUGAUACAUAAUGAUGUGGGAGCCCAGAGGAAGGAGUAAAUCUGAGAUGCUCAGAAGGCUUUGAAUGACAAAUGACACUGGGAAAGUAUGGGGAAGAUAGACAUUUGCAUGUAUGCAUGUGCACACACACACACACACACACACAUACACAAGUGUGGUUAGGUGUCAUUUGGAAAUAGAAAGGAUCUUGGUAAAGUUUUAGAGCUCACAGUAAAAAAUUAAGCACAAGGAAGGAAAUAAUCAGAACAUAUUGAGGGAUAUUUUUGAAUAGAGAUGAACUGAGAGAUUCUCUGGAUGAGCGGUUCUCAACCUUCCUGAUGCUGUGACCCUUUAACACAGUUCCUCAUGCUGUGGUGACCCCCACCCAUAAAUUAUUUUCAUUGCUACUUCAUAACUGUAAUUUUGCUACUGUUAUGAAUUAUGUAAAUUGUUGGUUUCUAGUCAAAAGUCUGUGGUGUCAGGACUCAUUUUAGAAAAGUACAUGGGCACUGAAGGUAUCUGGAAGUAUGGUCAGGACAGACAGUCUUUGUUUGAAUGAAGAUGCAAUUGCCUUUUGUAUCAGAUCUUUUAUGGAUGAUGAUAACAAUACUGUACCACAGACCCAGAUCAGGCAAAAGAUUUUAAUUUGUUUAUUUAUUUAUUUUUUUUACAUUUGUUAGUUGUGUGGACAUGGGUGUGAACAUGCAAGCCACAGUGCACCUCCGGAAGUCAGAGGCCAACUUGCCAGAGUUGGGUCUCUCCUCCUAUUUGUGUUGCAGUGAUGCAAUUCAGAUCAGGCUGAUAGCUGGUGCCCUUAUCCACACAACCAUCUCACCAAUUUAAUAUUCCAGCUGUAACAGUGUUCCACACUCCCACCCGAGUCAUCUGGUAAGGUACUGCUAGAUACCUCUAUCGACCAUAAGUUAGAAGCAAUGCUGUUACCAUAGCAAAGGAAGGACUUUCUUCAAAGCCUAGAAGAUAAGUUUGAUUUGUGUGGCCAUGUAAUAGUGUCUAAAUGCCCUCUUUUCUACUUAAGUUUAAAGAAAAAAAAAGAGAAAAUAUUCAAAGACACUACUUAGAAAUCUUUAUUAAUGGCCCCUGAAAUCUAGGAUCUGGUAUAUAUGAUUUUGAGCCAAAAGAAAAGAAAUUUCUAUAGAUGGGUUAUUAAAGCAGCCUGUGGCAGAAGAGGAAGAGGGUGUUCCAGUUAGUGACCAGAUAGCAGGAUAAACAGUAGGAAUGUGAAGUCAUUUUGGAGGGGUGGGGGAGGGUAUAGGGCACUUUUGGGAUAGCAUUUAAAAUGUAAAUGAAGAAAAUAUCUAAUAAAAAUUGAAAAAAAAUACAAAUGAUGGUGGGAAUGCAUAGAAAUGGCACUACUCAGAUAACGCUCAUUAAUAAUGGUUUGAUAGCUGCAAAGAAGAUUGAAAUCUUUUGUAGUUCAUAUAAAAUAAAUACAGCAAUAUUAAAAAAAAAAGAAUCCAUGCCUCAACUUCUUGAAAACACGGAAGAGACUUAAGUCAGGGAGUCUGCUGUGCUGUGUUCCCUUCAAAUGCAGAAACUGCUGAGGCAGAGCUGAGAACAGAAAUCCAGAGGAGAGACAGUGCCCUUACGCAAUGUUCCAAGUGAGUGCAGAGAAGAGAAAUUGACCAACACCUUUCUGUUCAAGAAUAACCGCAUAUGACAUGACUCCAAGGGGGAAAAUAGAACAAGGCUACGGUGGCCGAGGAAUUCAAGACAGCAGCUGGAAAAGAACUGUUUUGAAAGCCCAGUGGUGUUUCACCCCAUCUCUGUAAUGGUGGGGACAUCACAUAUCCUUUCUAAGCCUGUAUUUGCUUUGCCUGUGAAAUCAAGAGCAUACAGAAAACACUUUCCUCAUAGUAUUGUUGUGGGUGGGGCUUGAGAAAUAAAAGUGAAAUGCUUUGUUCAGUGUCCACUAAAAUGAAAGGCUGAACUUUUAUUUGUUGUGUUUAAUCUUCCAAGAAGGAAACCUCAAGGCAGAAUUAGAUGUACUCAAGAUUAAGUAGAAGUGUUUGUGAAGGACGAAGGAAGAAUAAAAAGGAAGGCUGUGAAAGACAUCAGCUCUUAAGGUUGUUCUGAGUCCCGAGAGAGGAGAAAUGGAGGAGAAUGGCUUAGACAAGAUGACUCUAACCCUGACUGUACUAUCCCACUGUUUUUGUUUAGGCUACAGAAGCCCACAAGUUAUAUCAGCGCUUUGGAAGCUGGCUCUAUUCCACUGUAAUGGGCUUGGAUUAGAACCCUGAUGUACCUACUAGUAUCUAGGGCAGAUGUGAUUCUAAUGUGAACAUGGUGGUGAUUUAAAAGGGGAAGUUGCUGAGGUUAUCGGUCAAUUAUACUUCCCACAGGGCAGGAUUGGAGCAGUGCAUUUGCGGGUCUGCCGGUAUGGAUUAGAGAUGCCUUGAAUUACUGUGGAUUGAGCUCCACUCCAGAGAAGUGGCCAAGGGACAGAGAUGCCUGGAAUCCAGUUCUUUCCUGGUUGCUAAGCUAUGUGCUUAUGGUUCACACAUACUUGAAGAGAGCACCUUGGCUAAUCCAUAUGAAGGUCUAUCUGGCUAAUUGGAUGUGGUUUAAGAAAUCAUUUCACAAGAAUACCGAUUUAAAAAAACAACAACAACAUACUAAAAUGGACCAAUAAACCAGACCAGAGACACGUCUGUCACUGUCAGACGAUUGCCCUGCCACUACACCUAUUUGUUCCCUGAGACUCUUGUGGAUUUCCAGAUUUUCUUGUGCUCGGUGGCUGCAUCUGCAGCCCUUCAUUCAGCAACAAAGCAGGAGCAGGGUGCAGAGCUGUGUUGUGCUGAAAAAAACAAAAGAUAUCCCGGUGAAAAUGUUAAAUUACAUAAUAUUUCUUCAGACGACAGGUAAAGGAUAUGAAUGCAUAUAAUGAACAGAUCUGAGACAGAUAUUAAUCCCCCUUGUAGCAUAAUGAAGAUUUAAAGAAAAACAAACAGUCCAUGAAGCAUCAUCUUCCUCCCUCUCACCUCCCUGAGUCCCACCAGCGUACCCUGGAUCCCUGGAUAUGCCACAUGUGACAUGUAUAUAAUUUUGGAACAGCAGUAGCUACUAGAACCCACUCAACUCUUUGUCUGUAUAUCUAUCUAUAUCUCUACAUAUGUAAUAUAUAUAUUGCAAAUAUCAUAGCACUUAAAUCUUCAAACAUUUCCUCCUCCAGACAGCUUGAGAUUCUUGUGCACAGGUGCACACUCAUGCAGACACACACAUUUCCAUGUAUUGAACACACACACACACACACACACACACACACACACACACACACACUCACAAUCACUCACACACACAGGCUAUUUCAGAGAGUGUUUCCCUCUUAUUAUUGGGAUAGAUAAGCUACAGGCAAUUUCCUUCCCAUUGUGGCAUCCACAGGUACAUUUUUGGAAGGUUCUAGUGAUACUUGAAAGAUGUCCUGUGUUAAGGGACAAAAAGAAUGUGGCAGAGAGGGGAGUAGGAAGAAGACAGACAGGGAGGGAGGGGAGAGAGGGAGCAAGGGAAGACAAGAAAGGAAAGGACAGACCGAAGGAAGAAUGCCCAGCAGCCUUUGCGGUACUGAAGCAUGCUUUGCUCUGGAAAGGUCCUGAGGGCACGAGUGUACGAUUGCUCGCCUUUCAAUCUUCUAUUUGUGAGAACAUCUUUGCAUUGAUCUCUGUCUGUAUGUCCUGGCGGCGUGCCGUGUUAAUUUGUUUUUGAGAUAUAGAUCCCAUAGUGUUAUCAACACUUGCGCUUCGCAUUAAGAGUCUUCGUACUGCUGUUUCGACUUCGUUGGCGGCAGACUCACACCUGCUACUGUAGAUGGAAUUCCAGAUACAUCCAAACAAACAAAUGAGACAUGAAAAGUAUUUCCAAUGAUGUUGACUUCACAGGGGAGAUAUGUUUUGUUCUGACAUGUAUGGAUGCUUCAGAUAUACUGACAAGUUCAUGGACCCUUAAAGCUAUUUAUCAUGCUCAAAAGAAAG
rnacentral:lncRNA from 1 species